CUCGCUCUAACGGGGUGCCUGGCGUUUUCGCCGGGCUGAGAGGCCAGAUGGCCAACCCGAAGAACCUGAUCCGGUUUGUACCGGCGGAGGGAUUAGACGUGCACAUCGC
rnacentral:ncRNA from 2 species